UAGAGUUUGAUCCUGGCUCAGGAUGAACGCUAGCUACAGGCUUAACACAUGCAAGUCGAGGGGCAGCAUGUUGUGUGCUUGCACACAAUGAUGGCGACCGGCGCACGGGUGAGUAACGCGUAUCCAACCUUCCCAUGACUCCGGUUCAGCCCGCCGAAAGGCGGAUUACUCCCGGAUGGUUUCCGAAGAGGGCAUCUGAUUUGGAAUAAAGAUUGAUCGGUCAUGGAUGGGGAUGCGUCUGAUUAGGCAGCAGGCGGGGUAACGGCCCACCUGGCCUACGAUCAGUAGGGGUUCUGAGAGGAAGGUCCCCCACACUGGAACUGAGACACGGUCCAGACUCCUACGGGAGGCAGCAGUGAGGAAUAUUGGUCAAUGGGCGAGAGCCUGAACCAGCCAAGUAGCGUGCAGGAUGACGGCCCUAUGGGUUGUAAACUGCUUUUAUAUGAGGAUAAAGUUCGUUACGUGUAACGUUUUGCAGGUAUCAUAUGAAUAAGGACCGGCUAAUUCCGUGCCAGCAGCCGCGGUAAUACGGAAGGUCCGGGCGUUAUCCGGAUUUAUUGGGUUUAAAGGGAGCGCAGACGGUCAGUUAAGCGUGCAGUUAAAUGAUGUGGCUCAACCAUGUUAUGCUGCGCGAACUGGCUGACUUGAGUUCACGGAACGUGGGCGGAAUGUGUGGUGUAGCGGUGAAAUGCAUAGAUAUCACACAGAACACCGAUUGCGAAGGCAUCUCACAAAUCCGUGAUUGACGCUGAGGCACGAAAGUGUGGGGAUCAAACAGGAUUAGAUACCCUGGUAGUCCACACUGUAAACGAUGAUAACUCGCUGUCGGCGAUACACAGUCGGUGGCCAAGCGAAAGCGAUAAGUUAUCCACCUGGGGAGUACGACCGCAAGGUUGAAACUCAAAGGAAUUGACGGGGGCCCGCACAAGCGGAGGAACAUGUGGUUUAAUUCGAUGAUACGCGAGGAACCUUACCCGGGCUCGAACGGCAAGUGAACGACACAGAGAUGUGAAGGUCCUUCGGGACACUUGUCGAGGUGCUGCAUGGUUGUCGUCAGCUCGUGCCGUGAGGUGUCGGCUUAAGUGCCAUAACGAGCGCAACCCUUGCCAUUAGUUACCAGCAUGUAAUGAUGGGGACUCUAGUGGGACUGCCACCGUAAGGUGUGAGGAGGGGGGGGAUGACGUCAAAUCAGCACGGCCCUUACGUCCGGGGCGACACACGUGUUACAAUGGUGGGUACAGAGGGCAGCUACCUGGUGACAGGAUGCAAAUCUCGAAAACCCAUCUCAGUUCGGAUCGGAGUCUGCAACUCGACUCCGUGAAGUUGGAUUCGCUAGUAAUCGCGCGUCAGCCAUGGCGCGGUGAAUACGUUCCCGGGCCUUGUACUCACCGCCCGUCA
rnacentral:rRNA from 1 species